GAUGAACGCUGGCGGCGUGCCUAACACAUGCAAGUCGAGCGAGAUAAAUGUGAGUGGAGACUUCGGUCAAAGCGAUCAUUUUGAAAGCGGCGGACGGGUGAGUAACGCGUGAGCAAUCUGCCCCAUACAAAGGGAUACCCACUGGAAACGGUGAUUAAUACCUUAUAAGACCACGAAGUCGCCUGGCUUAGUGGCCAAAGAUUUAUCGGUAUGGGAUGAGCUCGCGUCUGAUUAGCUAGUUGGUGAGGUAAUGGCUCACCAAGGCGACGAUCAGUAGCCGACCGGAGAGGGGGAACGGCCACACUGGAACUGAGACACGGUCCAGACUCCUACGGGAGGCAGCAGUGGGGAAUAUUGCACAAUGGGCGCAAGCCUGAUGCAGCAACGCCGCGUGAAUGAUGAAGGCCUUCGGGUCGUAAAGUUCUGUCCUAAGGGAAGAAUACAGUGACGGUACCUUAGGAGGAAGCCCCGGCUAACUACGUGCCAGCAGCCGCCGUAA
rnacentral:rRNA from 1 species